rnacentral:rRNA from 1 species
UACGAAGGGGGCUAGCGUUGUUCGGAAUUACUGGGCGUAAAGCGCACGUAGGCGGAUCGAUCAGUCAGGGGUGAAAUCCCAGAGCUCAACUCUGGAACUGCCUUUGAUACUGUCGAUCUAGAGUAUGGAAGAGGUGAGUGGAAUUCCGAGUGUAGAGGUGAAAUUCGUAGAUAUUCGGAGGAACACCAGUGGCGAAGGCGGCUCACUGGUCCAUUACUGACGCUGAGGUGCGAAAGCGUGGGGAGCAAACAGGG